rnacentral:lncRNA from 1 species
UAUAAAUAGUGCAAUUCAAUAUUAUUUCUUAUCUAUUGAGCAAAGGAAUAUUAAGGAAGUUAUGUAAUAAGUUAAUUAUUAAAGGGGGAAAUAAGUGUAGAAGCCUUAAAAAAUUCAAUUUUUUUCAUAAAUCGAUUGUAGAACUAUUUAAAAAUAUACUCUGAAAUUUUCAAAACAAAAUUCCAAGCCGUUUAAAAGUUAUAAGCAUUUGAGUGAGUGUCCCUCGGUCGAACGAUUGGAGCGCGUGGUAUGUAGUACGUAGUGAUUGAACAGAAACCUUGGAUAGAAAUUUCAAGAAGUAAUUAGUGACCCUAUGACGAAGUAUAAGUUUUAAAAUCAGUUUCAAACCGACCUUCAUCGCAUGAGUUUCGUUUAUACAUAAAAUGUCUAGGUAUCCGAGGAACGAGCAUGGUAUUUUAAUUCACAGUAGUAGACCUCGUAAGAGAUCAUUUCACGGAAAUCAGUAUACAAAUAGUGAUUCAAAAAAGUAUGGUAAAAA